AUGGACCGACUGGAUCGAUCGAUGAUGAGGAAUGAAGGUGGCAGCAGGACCCAGAUGGAUUACGUCAACCUAAUGUCGUCGUGGCAGACAUAUGAGAUACGCAGAAAUGACGGGAGGACGCGAGUAGGUAGGCCCUGUACUAGUCCACGGCUUCCUCCUCCCUCUGCAUGCAUGCAUGCCCAGCGAUUAAUUCAAGGCCGUGCGAAAACAGCAAAAGGAAAUCAGAGCUGGUUCGCGGGCCCGGCCCGGCUCGAUCCACCGUGCUCGGCCACUCCUCUUUAUAUACCGGCGCGCCCCGCGCGGUCGCUCGCUCACACCACCGCCCCGGCCCCGCGCCACUCUCUCUGCCUCUUCUUCUUCCUCCACACGGCCACACACACGCCCGCGCGCACGCAGCACCUUCCACCCACUUGCUUGCUCCGGCCAUCGACCAUGGAGGGCGAGGCGCCGCAGUCGCACCAGCUGCUGCUCCACGGCGUCAGCCUCGACCUGCGCCUCGACACGACGGCGCACCAGCAGCGCGGCGCCCGGCGCCCGGCGUCCCCUGCGCCUACUCCCGUGGCCCUCGACCAGGCCGGCAAGGAGGCCUUCGCCUGCAACUACUGCCACCGCAAGUUCUUCAGCUCGCAGGCGCUCGGCGGCCACCAGAACGCCCACAAGCUCGAGCGCACGCUCGCCAAGCGCAGCCGCGACGCCUCCGCCACCGCAGCGGCGGCAACCGCCACGCCUUCCUCUCACUGGCUCCACGGCGGUGGCGGGGAGCUCUGGACGUACUCUGCUUCGGCCGCUGCCCCGGAUUCCACGACGAUGGCGCCCCUGAUGGGCAUGGGCUGGGCUGGUAGCACAACAGCGGACGGCGGGGAGGCGGUGCCGGAGAUGGACCUGUCGCUCAAGCUCUGA
rnacentral:rRNA from 1 species